rnacentral:lncRNA from 1 species
AUGUUCAAUCAUUUUACUAGAAGUAAAAGAAAAUAUAUUAUUUUAGAUUACGAAAAAAGAAUCCGAUAUUACUACACCCAUGAAAAAAUUGGCAGGACACCGCCUUUUAUUUUACAUAAACUGGUAAAAUAUCAUAUGCAGUAGUCUUCUAUCAAGAGAAUUGAGAGAUUUAAAGUAAAGUUGUAUCCUAAUAAAAUGUAGUUGCAGUGACAAGCAAUAAUCAAGACACAAAUAUGUAAAAGGUGUUCAAUCAAUGUACUGGAAAAGAGAGCGUAUGAAAUUUC